UAUAUAUAUAAUAUUUGUGUUUUUCUCAUUUUAUGAACAUAAGUAUGUUGUUUCUCCCAUGAUAACUUAUGUAUUUAUUCUUGCUUUCUUGACAUUCAUUAUUUUUAAAGUUUUUUUGUUCCUUCAUGACAUGAACAAUAACAGCUUGAAUGACAGGAGCAAGACUACUCUUCUCAGACUUCACACUAGUCUGCCAUUUUUUUUCUUCUUUUUUUAUAUUAUUUCCUGUAAGAUUUGAUACCUUUUUUAACAACUAAACUUGUUCAACAUCUUGCCUGUAUCAUUUUGUAGUGUUCUGAGAGUAAAGAAGAAAAGUCUUGUGUUCACUUUUGCUUUAUCUAAAAGAACCUUGAGUUGCCUUUUAAACUUUUUUCUUCUUUGCUUUUCUUUUAGUAUUUUUUCACUGUCUUCAAUUUUCCUGUAAUAAUGGGAUCCUACAAUUGUGUAUAUUGUAUUUUACAUUUUUACUUUACUUUUACUGGACAACCUACAUUAUGGAAGGUUGUUUUGCUUAAAUAUCAUUCUUUGUGAUAAUUUGAAUAUCGAACCUUAUUAGAGACGCUUUCUUCUGUCAUUUAGACUUUGGAUUUUGAUUUGUAUGGUCUUCGGAAUCCUCUUGCUAUCAGCUUUUUGCAUGGUUCGCUCAGCAUAUUUGCCUUGCACGUUGUUGCUACAGUCUAUUCUCUGAUAUGUAAAAUCUCUGAUUGUAGAAAGCCUUAUAUAUCCUUAAAAAAUGGAGUGGCUAUGGUUUGAUAUUGGGUUGUGUAAUUUGGUUUAGAAUUGAACUCCGAUCAGUGUAAUUAUAGUUUAUCUUUCACAAUUAGAAUAUCUAACCACAACACAAUGUUUAUGGAUAUUUUUAUUUUUUUUUCUAAUUGGGAAAUUAAUGAAUCGUAGAAGAAUUGAUGUAGAUGUACUUUUCUUAUGCUACUUCUAAAUUUUGUGGGUUCUUCUAAGAUAGCUAAGAACCUAGUGAUAACAAUGUUUUCUUAUUUCUUAGUGUAAAAAGAUUCGAGUUAUGAGCACUCUCGUCUAUCAUUUGAUAUGCUUUGAAGUAAAGAAUGUCACUGUGCCUUUUGUUAGAUGAAUUGACAAGGUCAUUUUUGACCUCCAGCACUUCAGAACAUCCAUUGACAAGGUCCACCAAUCAUGGUUACGGUGUGCUUUCAAUAGGAUGACUGAAGUUAACUAGUCAUUUUUAUGUCCUCAAGCUGGGGAUGGAUGGGAUUUAUGCAUGAGUACCAUCACAACUGAUUAUUAUCUGUAGCUAUGUGAAUUGAGAACAUUUAUAUUAUAUUUAAUAAGACAAUACAUGGUCUGUUGCAGCUUGAUUGUCUGACAGUUUCUAAAAAUUCUUUGCAAAAGCAAAGAACCUCAUGGUGGUAAUAUUUCGAUAUUGCAAUUUCACAAGCUAACAUCUGUAUCUUUGAGUGUUUUCCUACGGCUUGAUGAUUUUCUUAAAAUUCGCAUUGACACGAGGGGCAAGGAUCUCCUGGUGCUAUAUAUAAUGGCAGAUAAUUGAUUCUUUGAAAGCUGUUUCUGAUACUCCGAAAUUGUUAUUUCUAGUGUGUAUUUCAGCAGCAUUACUGUUGUGAUCCAUGCAUUGCAGUACAGAAUGUUGAUCUAAUUACAUUAUUUUCAUGAGUUUUUAUGCAAGUGCCUGGAAUUACUCAUCAAAGUGGGUAUUGCAAUUUGCCAUCGUGAGAUCAGCUCUGCUUUUCUGGGAUGUUCAGGAAGGCCACUGCUGAUGCCGAUGCUGACUGAAAGGUGCUUAUGUUUUUCCUUGGCGUCGAUUGGCACUGCCGAUGCCGAUUGGUCGUGUUCAUGCUCUUCGGUUGAUUACUGAAGCCAUCAACGUGUUCAAAAUUUCUGUCAGAGGCUGCUGGAGUUGCAAAUCUACUGAUACCCACCAUGGUGGGAAUUGGAAGGUACCCCAAACAGAGCAGAUUGUGGAAGGCUUAGAAGUGAAAGAUCUGGACAAGCUGAGGGCCACCUUCAGACAUGCUGCCCUGUCAAGAUGUCGAUCAUCGAUCAUGCAUGCAGAGUUUCGGUGGGCUGUUGCCUUCAGUCUUCGGCAAUAAAUAGAGUCGCAUGUUUCCAUAGCGUAGGUGAAGGCAAUGGGAGCUACUGAGAUGGUAAGUGUCCACUGCUUCUUGUGCGUGACCCUCCUCAUUCUACUCUCUGCUGCUGCUGCAGGUACUAUGGAUGUGGGUUAUGUCCAGCCAUCUAACACCACCAUGUUCGACGGCGUCGCUGGCGGCACUGGGUGGUUGGAUCCAGAGAUGGCGACGGCCCAGCACAUAGUCUACGGUGCCUUGAAUGCCGGCCGACCGGCGGCCAAGUCUGCCAAGGGGGGGGCUUACACCCGUGGGUGUACGAAGUCUCAUUAUUGCAGAUAGUGAUCCUUUUAAGUCUCUUCGUUUCCAUAGGAGUCUCAUGAUCGAUGUGUCGUCGCAGAACCUACUUUGCUUGUAUGACUUGAUGAUGUUAUCAUUUGGCUUGCUUAUCUUUUUCCUGUGUUUGUUGUUUCGCUUCUCUGCGUGGAAAACAUAAACGUUUCGAUUCAUGAAACUCAAUUGUUCUUUUU